GAGACCGGCGCACGGGUGCGUAACGCGUAUGCAAUCUACCUUUUACAGGGGGAUAGCCCAGAGAAAUUUGGAUUAAUACCCCAUAGUAUAAUUGAAUGGCAUCAUUUAAUUAUUAAAGUCACAACGGUAAAAGAUGAGCAUGCGUCCCAUUAGCUAGUUGGUAAGGUAACGGCUUACCAAGGCGACGAUGGGUAGGGGUCCUGAGAGGGAGAUCCCCCACACUGGUACUGAGACACGGACCAGACUCCUACGGGAGGCAGCAGUGAGGAAUAUUGGACAAUGGGCGCAAGCCUGAUCCAGCCAUGCCGCGUGCAGGAUGACGGUCCUAUGGAUUGUAAACUGCUUUUGUACGAGAAGAAACACUGCUUCGUGAAGCAGCUUGACGGUAUCGUAAGAAUAAGGAUCGGCUAACUCCGUGCCAGCAGCCGCGGUAAUACGGAGGAUCCAAGCGUUAUCCGGAAUCAUUGGGUUUAAAGGGUCCGUAGGCGGUCUAGUAAGUCAGUGGUGAAAGCCCAUCGCUCAACGGUGGAACGGCCAUUGAUACUGCUGGACUUGAAUUACUAGGAAGUAACUAGAAUAUGUAGUGUAGCGGUGAAAUGCUUAGAGAUUACAUGGAAUACCAAUUGCGAAGGCAGGUUACUACUAGUGGAUUGACGCUGAUGGACGAAAGCGUGGGUAGCGAACAGGAUUAGAUACCCUGGUAGUCCACGCCGUAAACGAUGGAUACUAGCUGUUGGGAGCAAUCUCAGUGGCUAAGCGAAAGUGAUAAGUAUCCCACCUGGGGAGUACGUUCGCAAGAAUGAAACUCAAAGGAAUUGACGGGGGCCCGCACAAGCGGUGGAGCAUGUGGUUUAAUUCGAUGAUACGCGAGGAACCUUACCAAGGCUUAAAUGUAGAUUGACCGGUUUGGAAACAGAUCUUUCGCAAGACAAUUUACAAGGUGCUGCAUGGUUGUCGUCAGCUCGUGCCGUGAGGUGUCAGGUUAAGUCCUAUAACGAGCGCAACCCCUGUUGUUAGUUGCCAGCGAGUCAUGUCGGGAACUCUAACAAGACUGCCAGUGCAAACUGUGAGGAAGGUGGGGAUGACGUCAAAUCAUCACGGCCCUUACGCCUUGGGCUACACACGUGCUACAAUGGCCGGUACAGAGAGCAGCCACUGGGCGACCAGGAGCGAAUCUAUAAAACCGGUCACAGUUCGGAUCGGAGUCUGCAACUCGACUCCGUGAAGCUG
rnacentral:rRNA from 2 species